UGGGAGGGAGGCCCGGGCCCGGGUGCGUUCCCUAUGCGAGGGACUUCUGCUACCGUGCUCACCGUGCAGUGCACGGGGAUGGGCCACGCCGGCAAUGCUCCACCGCGCACGCGCGCUUAUCCGAUUCCACCACCAUUGCCCGAUUUGCGUGUCGAUGAAACACCUGAAUAUCCGAUCGGCUAUCCGACAUCAACGGACAAAAUUGACCGGCAAAUGCUUCAGGUGAAACUAUUCAGGUAGAGCAGCUGCGAGCCUUCUCUUUUUUUUCAUAGCAAUCGUUAUUUUAUUUUCUGGGAGCCUUCUCUUUGAACACGAAAAUGAUGGAAGAACUAGGAGCAAUCAGAAGCAGAACCAUAACGAUUCCCCUACAAACAGGAGUUGCCUUGCCUUAAGAGGAAAGAAAAAUAAAGGGGCUCCUGUGUCGUGUAGGCUUGCAGUUGCUCUCUGACCUGACGGGUGCACGAUGAUCAGUAAGCCUCCAACUCCAACACUACCACCAGAGAUCAUUCUAAUAUAUUUUUCGUAAAAAAAAUGUAUAAACAUGAGGGAUGCAAGAAAAAAAAAACACCUCUUCAUCUGAUCUGGAGUUCUGGGGUGAACUUGAGUGCUUGACGCUCAUCAAUACCACCUUGCACCCAAUGUUGAGAAGUGAUGCUGUCCUUCGAAUUGCUGGGCUUGUUUCUUACAGUCAUUCUUCUUCUUGAGCAUGCGGUGCAGGCAGCCGGACCGGCUAGCUCAUAGCUUUGUAUAACUUCCCGAGUCAGAAAAACAUUCACUUCCCGUUUCCCCAUGAGAAGCAUAUAUAUAUAGCUCAAACGCGAAACAUGACCUCCCUUCUUCAGGUUAGGCGGCUGAUACUGGUGCUCACCCUCUAUGACAGGGCUGGGUCAGAUACCGCUGUCCGUUUGUCUGUUUUCAUCCUGACAACCCUAGGGCCAGUGUUCCUUGUGUUGUUGCGCUUAGCAUAAGCUUUUCUUGGAACAGAACGUUGUAUGAUCCGUAUCGGUAUUCCCCCGAUGUCGAAAUCUUCCUUGAGGGACUUUGUCAAGAACCUAGUAUCUGUAUCAGAAAGCUGAGUCUUCCCACUCAUGAAGGCAACAAAUGUUGGUGGUCGUGCCUUCACUUGAGUGAAGUACUUGACUUUUGGCUGAGUAGCUGAAUCUUUCCAGGAAUGUCUGCUCAUAACCUAGAGCACAAUCACAAGGUAUUAGAAGUAAUGGUCGAAAUAGAUGCCACAAUGGCUUCACUGGCCAGUGUAGUCAGUAACUUUGAACAUCAUGCAGUCAAAAUAAACCAAGUGGUAGGCGUGGUAAUGUACAAAAUAAUAAUAAUAAAAGGAUACUGGAAAAUACCAAGUCGACUACUAGAACCCACUGAAUGUUUCAAAGGAUCUCCUAAAUCAUUCCAUUUUUCACUGAUACAGGUUCCACUUUCCUGUCAUAUAGGUAACUCAUCUGGAUCUACACAAUCUAAAUUGAAUUUUUGAGGGAUGAGAUCUAAGUUCUUAUUAUCAAUCCAUAUAACUGUGUUCCUACAGAACACACACGCAAACAAACCAAAUAAAAUUUCUGUAAGCAGAAUGUUUACCUUACGCAACCAACGGUUGAGCCGUGAUGUUGACAAUCUUAAACACCACUUCUCAUAGGUAUCUAUAACCUGGCGCAUCACAGCAAUCCGCCCCCUCCCCUCCAGCGCUGACACGAAAACAGCUGGUAUUCCUGUCACCUGCCAAAAGGAGGGAUAUCAACACUUUGCAAUCUGCCACUCCACAAGAAUAUGAAACAAAACAACAUAUUCCAGAAUGUAGCAGUUAUUUCUUUUCAGCUCAAGAAAAAUAUUUAGGUGGGUCUUAGUUAGGAGGCAGCGUGCAAGCAACAUGUCUAGAAAGAUAAAAAAAUAAAAUACCAAUGACCAAGAAAUUUAGACAGCAUCUCCACUUCUCCAGUUAUUAACAAACAUCAAACCAAAAGAACUCAAGUGGCUUUGUCAAUAAAGGAACAUGACAAAUCCAUUGCUCCAUCAGUAAACAUAGCAAAGCACCUGAAUCUGUGCUUAUUACCAUAAUAAAACUGAAUCAACAGUAAACAAAUAAAAUAUGUGUGCACGAUAACCCAAUGUGUAGGGUUAAUCAUAGAAUAUCGCAUCAUCAACUAUUAAAAAAACUAAAUUAGAAAAAUAUAAUUUACAAUUUUGAGAGGAACCCCAUAUGAUCAGAAGUCGCAUGUAUUCAUGCAGAGAAUAACUGAACGUUCAUAUUGACAUCUAACAGUUAUGUUUUGGAGAGAGUGCAGUUCUGUUUUGGAGAGUUAUUAGUAGCCCUCAACUGUGACUGGUAAUCAUGUCUUCAAGGUUGAAAACCAGUGUAUUAUGAACUAACAAAAUAUAACAAUUACCUGAGGAAUGACUGUCUGGAUUUCUCUAGGAACAGCGUCCAUAACCUUGUUAAACAGUGUUUGGUUAUCUCUAAGGAGAUCCAUUUUAUUGACAAUCACAACUAGUCCACGGCCCUCUUCUAUUGCUUGCCGUGCUAUCACGAUUUCUGGAUGAUUCAUGCUACUUUUGGACUUAGCAAUCUGCAUAUUCAUAGAGCUUUAUCAUGAACUAGAAAUUGCAAUUCAAAUGAAAUUCUAAAAUGCAUGAGGACUUUGGUAAUAUCAGCCCAGGACACUGAAAGCAAACAUGGGGUCAGUCUUAAUGUUCAAUGAUUUAACAUGGCCCUGGCACCAGAACAUCAAGAUAACACAUGCUUAAACCAAUAUCCAGCAAGUCUAGUGCCAUGUAAAUAUAUAAGUAACUGGCUCUGGAUGUCAAAAUCACAGUAAGUACCUUUUCAGCAUCCAGCACAAGAGCAACAAUGUGAGCUCUCAUUAAGUUCUUCCUAGACUGCACAACACUCAAAGAUGCUGGCCCUUUCUCCUUCCCUGAUCUUUCCAUCCAACCAGCAGUAUCCACCUGCAUUACGAAAACGAAUAAGAUGAUUAGACCAUGAUACACACAGAAACAGCUUGCAGGAAUGCAAUAUGAGCCCUACACUCUAAAAAAGCAUCAUAAGUUCUGGAUAAGUUUACCGUGCUCAAGUAACAAAAUGAAUGAAUUAUUUAUAUGAUUCAGUUUGGCUGAACUACCAGCUGGAAAGACAUAAGAUCCUCAUAUUUGGUGGUAUCAGUUGUAGAGCCUAUGUAAUUAUUUUUAUUUCCCUAGUCAACUUUCUGUGCUGCUAAUUAUCUCAGUAGUAAACAAGUCUUUUUCACUCAACAGUUUUAUAUAAAUAAGAGGCAGGGAUGAGCCAAAACAAAUUUCUAGUAUUCUGAAGCCUAGAACUUAAACAGUUAAUAUAAGAGGUGAAAAUGCAAGUAUACACAAAAGAAAGCAAGCAUAGUCGAGACUUAAUUUAUUACUACCACCGGUCACAAAUACUUGGCACUUUGACAAAUAUUCUUUCAAACUAUUAGAAAUUUGACCGCCAACAGUUUCCAAAAUAUCCAGUUUGGAAACAGAAAUAUCAUGAGUAUAUUUGUCCUUCAAAGAAAUUCCUUAAUCGUGUAUACUUAUUAGACACUGUAGCCAUACUCCAAUAGAAAGAAAAAAGUCAAAGUAGUACUUGAAGGCCAUUAACUCCGCCUAUGUUGUCUUAGCAUAUGUUGGUGCAGCAUAUCCUGGUCCCAAGUCCAGGUACAAGGAGGAGGGUUGCGUUAGGCGUGGCGAGCCAGCUAUAAAAACUUAGCCACUCAAAAUGGAGAUGAAACCCAAUAGAAAACCGUUGGGGCGUAACCCUCUUAGCGAAGAGCCAUAUCAGAACCCGGGUAUGGCGUUAAAUGGGCAUGGGCCGGGACGCCACCCCUUGGUGGCGCACCGUGUCGUGAUCUGGAUGCGAUGUCAAGUGAGCAAGGAUCGGGUCGUCGCUUCCUUAGUGGCGCGCUACAUCGGCGCCCGGGUGUAGUGAUAAAUGUGCAAGGGCCUUCACAUCUGUCUCAACGGGUGCGAGGGGUAAGGAAGCUAGUUGAGCCGGCUAGAAUCCGUGUAGGUAGUUGGAACGUACGGUCCCUUACAAUUAAGCUAAGAGAGUUAGUGGAUGCAGCGAGCAGGAGGCGUGUUAGUAUCCUAUGUGUCCAGGAGGUUAUGAAAAGUUUGAAACCAGUGUUCUCCACCUCCUUCGCCUUUUGACAAUCUUUUCAGUGGUAAGAAUGAGACUAUGGACACCCUAUUGGAUGACUCCUUUGAUGAUUUCAAUAGAUGCUUUGUACGCAGGAUCCAAGAAUCAGAGGUCAAAGAAGCUUUAAAGAUGAUGAAAGGGGUCCUUUGAUGAUUUCAAUAGAUGCUUUGUAGUUUGUACGCAGGAUACAAGAAUCAGAGGUCAAAGAAGCUUUAAAGAGGAUGAAAGGGGCAAGGCGAUAGGCCCGGAUAGUAUACCGAUACAGGUGUGGAAAUGCCUUGGGGAUAUUGCUAUCGUUUGGCUAACCAAGUUGUUCCACCAUAUUUUUCGAUCAAACGAGAUGCCCGAUGAGUGGAGGAGGAGUACAUUAGUACCAAUCUUCAAAAACAAGGGAGAUAUUCAAAGUUGUACCAACUAUCGAGGGAUUAAGCUCAUGAGCCACACUAUGAUGCUAUGGGAGAGAGUUAUUGAGCAUCGCCUGAGAGGAAUGACGCAUAUCACCAUGAACCAAUUUAGAUUCAUGCCUGGAAGGUCAACCAUGAAAGCAAUUUUCUUAAUAAGGCAGGUCAUGGAGCGAUAUAAGGAGCAGAAGGACUUGCACAUGGUUUUUAUCGACUUGGAAAAUACCUAUGAUAAAAUACCCAGGAAUCUCACGUGGUGGGCAUUGGAUAAGCAUAAAGUCCCAACAAAGUAUGUUACGCUCAUCAAGGACAUGUAUGACAAGGUUGUGACUAGCGUCCGAACAACUGAUGGUUAUACAAAUGUUUUUCCGAUUAACAUAGGACUACAUCAAGGUUCAGCUUUGAGCCCUUAUCUAUUUGCCUUAGUGAUAGAUGAGGUCACGAGGGAAAUACAAGGAGAUAUCCUUUGGUCUACGCUUUUCGCUAACGAUGUAGUCCUAGUAGACGAAAGCCGGGAAGGAGUAAAUAGAAAGCUAGAGUUAUGGCGUCAGACCCUAGAGUCAAAAGGAUUUAGAAUUAGCAGGACCAAAACCAAGUAUAUGAUAUGUGACUUUGGUAUUACAAUUAGUGAGGAUGGAGAUGUAAGCUUGGGAGGCCAGGUAGUACCAAAGAAGGACAUCUUCCGUUAUUUGGGAUCGAUGUUACAGAGAGAUGGUGAUAUUGAUGAAGAUGUUAGCCAUAGAAAUCAAAGCGGGGUGGAUGAAAUGGCGUCAAGCAUCGGGAGUCCUAUGCGACAAGAGAGUGCCACAGAAGUUGAAAGGCAAGUUCUACAGGACAGCGAUUAGGCCUGCUAUGUUAUAUGGAGCUGAGUGUUGGCCUACUAAGAGAUGACAUAUCCAACAACUAAGUGUCGCAGAGAUGCGUAAGUUGCAUUGGAUAUGUGGACACACAAGAUUGGACCGAGUGAGAAACAAUGACAUACGCGAUUGGCUAGGAGUAGCGCCAAUUGAAGAAAAAAGCUUAUUCAACACCGGUUGAGAUGGUUUGGACAUGUCCGCCGGAGAACCACAGAGGCACCGGUGCAUAGAGGCAUCAUAAGACGGGACAAUAAUGUGAAGAGAGGUAGAGGUCGACUAAACUUGACAUGGUAGGAGGCAAUCAAAAGGGACUUGAAGGAAUGGAAUAUUUUAAUGGAUUUGUGUUUGGAUAGAAGUGUUUGGAAAGAAGCUAUCCACGUGCCCGAACCAUGAUUAGGCAUUUUUCCUUUUAGUGCUCUCAAAAGCUUUUCCCCUCCCCUUUCUCUCUUUUUGGUGACAUCUUGUUGUGUUUCAACUCUAGCCUACACCAACUUGCUUGGGACUAAAAGGCUAUAUUGAUGUUGAUAUUGAGUACUUGAAGGCCAUUAAAUUCAACGGUAUCAAGUUUUUUAACAGGAGGUAGUACGAAAAUUGUUAUGAAUCAUUAAUGUGGACAAAGUAAAAAAAAAUAAUUACAUUUUUAUGGUGCAAGUUUUACAGCAGAACAUAUCACAACUAAUGUCCACAAUAUAAGCACAAAAAUGUAGCCAUAUAAUAUAUGGUGUUGCAAAAAAAAAGUAUUAAACUAACAGAGAACAGUGAACUUACUAAAUACACGGUUCGACUAUCAAAUUGAAACUGAGCCCGAAUCGAGUCCCUUGUUAGGCCUGCCUCUGGACCAACAAGAACUCUCUGUUCUUGCAACAAGGUAUUUAAAAGGGUGGACUUCCCAACAUUAGGACGUCCCACAAUUGCCAACUGCAAAGGUAACUUGCUCUCAUCACCAUCAUGGGCCUCAGUUUCAACCUCCGAGAUAGGAUCAUCUUGGUUGAGGUCAUCUAUUACAUGUCAAUGUAAACAAUGAAUAGCCCGUCCAUAGGUUCAAACCAUGGUUUACCUCAAUAUCAAUAUAGGUAUAGCACCAAUGGUGUAGAUUCAUAAAUCUCGUAUUGCUAGAGAAACAUAUAGAAUUAUCUAAAGACAAAUAAUACUGCUGAAAUUCCUAAAUACACCACACAAAUGGGUUCCUUAAACCAGAAGCAUAUCAAUCUCUGAACGUUGUAAUUUUUUUCACUCAACAAAUCGGCUUCAGUGGAACUAAAAUGGAGAUCAAUAUGGCAGAUAAAGCUAUUGCGUUUGUUUAGGUCACCUUGAGUACCUAAUCGAUAUCUAAUAUUUGCUUAUACUAAUGGCCCACAAAAUCACACGAACACAAAGAUGCUUGGUCAAAGAAAUUAACACUUGGUCACUAAAGAUAAAGCAAACGACAUACUCCCUCUUGCAAAAUAAAUGCACAUCUCGGAUCCCAAGGAGUCAAACAUUUUAAAGUUUGACCAAAUAUAUACAAAAAUGAAAAAUGUACUAAUGUUUAUGAUGUAUAAUAAGUAUCAUCUAAUUGAGCAUAAUAUGCGCAAACUUGUUUGGAGCUACAAAUGUUGAUACUCUUUCAUAGUCAUAGUCAAAUUUAGAAGAAUCUGACUCCUCGAGAAACGAGAUAUGCAUUUAUUUUGGGACGGAGUGAGUAUGGACCAAACCAUUACAUAUAUUGCUACAGGCUUACUAUUUCGAAGCUGAAACAUGUAUUCUUCAAACAAUGGCCUGAGUAUCUCAUAGAGUUCUGCCAUCCCCAGGCCUGUCUCUGCGGAUAUUGCAACAGGGUCACCAAACCCCAACUUGUGUGCUUCUCCAGCAGCAGCAGUCAGAAAUCCAUGCUCAUCAAGUGACUCGGACUUGUUCAUUGCAACA
rnacentral:lncRNA from 1 species